UCCUCUGUAAUUUGCGCCUCUGCCCCCUGUACAGCAUAUACUCACCCACGGAGCCUCCAAGUCAUCUGGCUUGCCUCUCCUCCGCCAUGCCGCCUCCACACGCCGGCUGCCUAGCUUCCCCCGCAGGGCCGACCCCUGGCGGCCUUCCUCCGAUAUGUCGCCUCCCCAUCGACGAGUGCCAACGGCCUACGCCGCGGCUCAGGCGCCUCCCACCACGCCCCUCCUCUCCAAUCACAGGUUCCAUCCCGCGAUCCAAAGUUCCCCUCGUCUCCGGGUCUGGACGGAGCCGCCGCCAUCGGCGCGAGCUGUGGAGGAGAAAGCAAUCGAACAUGAAAAGUUUUUGUAGCGGCCGGCUUGUGCGCCGUCUCGGCUUCGGGGUAAAGCAGAGACAGAAGCCUCUGCAUUGACAUCUUAAUUGCAACAAAUAUUUCAAAAAUGGGGAUGUAUGUCAAAUAUGGUUGCACGUCUGAAGUUUAUGAACCAGGUGGUGAUGAUUGCAGAAUUCCAGUCAUUGAGUGUGUCUACGAGUGGAUUCAGGUCCUGGAAAUAUUGGGAGUGAUCUUAGUGCCAGAAAAUAACAGCCUUAGGAGUGUAGGGUGGACCAGUGGAGCAGGUUGUAAACACUAAGCCCCUUCCAGUGAAACUGUUAGCUUUGUGGCCAGAAAGUUUUUUCUUCUGAUGAGACACCUGGCGAUGUAUCGAAAUCUGUCCUGCAUAAUAAAGGAGCGCUGAGGAUGAUGGCUUUCAUGUUGGUUUGGAUGAUGCUGGUUCGGUAGUGUGGCUUCUCUUAUGUCAGCUGCAACCUUUUGGGGUAUCAUAUUCGCUGAUUCUCCACAUUGCGGGAUUUGUCCUGUGUUCGGUUAGGUGUGAUGUGUGUCACAUGUGUGGAUAUGUUGUGGCCGUGGGCCAUGCGUGUGCUUGUGACAGCAUGCUAGGUAAUUUAGGUAAUAUUUAUGGUCAUGUGCAGUAUUCAAAAUUUGGUGCUAGGUCGUACGACAAUACUUCAUAUGAUGUGGCGCAAAUGUUAAUUGGGAAUUCAGCCGUAUUUUAUCUAAUAUAUAUUUGCAUAUAAAUGGUGCAUCAAAUAGCCUCAUAAAUCUGGAAUGAAUAUAUGUUACA